rnacentral:rRNA from 1 species
AGUUUAAGAUUUAUAUUUAGUUUAUAAAAAAAAUAUUUUUGUAAUUAGUAUAUUAAUGAAUUUUAUUUUUAUAUUAUAGUUUAUAGUAAAGUGAUUGAAUAUUGAAAUAGGUGAAAUUAUGGCUAUUAGAAAGAAGAGUUAAUUUUUUGUACCUUGGGUAUCAGGGUUUAUUAAAAAUAUAUAAUGAGUUUUGAGUCUCGAAUUAAAAAGAGCUAAUAUUAUAUGGAUAUAAUUGUGUCAUAAAUUUUUAAAAUAUAAUAUUAGAAAUGAAACGUUAUUCGUUUUUUAAGAUAUCUAGUUUUUUAAGAAAUAGAUUUAAUCUAGUUUAUACUUUAUUCUUAGUUUCUUUAUUAAUUAAGAGAAAGUAUAAAGUAAUAUUUUAAGGGAUAAGCUUUAAAAUAAAUUAUUAUAAUUAUGUUUAUUUAGUAUGAAUAAUUGUAGGAUUGGAAAUUUUUAUCUUUAGUAUGUUAUAAUUAAUUUUCAUUUUAAUAAGAUUUAUAUAUUAAUUUAAGUUAUUUAUUAAAAUAGUAUAUUUAAUAAGGGAAUAUACGUAACAAUGAUAAAAUUAGUAUAAUUUAAUGUAAAAAUAUAUUAUAGUAUAAAGGUUAUAUUAAGGAACUCGGCAAAUUUAUUUUCCGCCUGUUUAUUAAAAACAUGUCUUUUUGAGUAUAAUUUAAAGUCUAACCUGCCCAAUGAGGAGUUGAAUGGCCGCGGUAUUUUGACCGUGCAAAGGUAGCAUAAUCAUUAGUUUUUUAAUUGAAAGCUGGAAUGAAUGGUUGGACGAGAAAAUAACUGUCUCAGUAUAAUUUAAAUUAGAAUUUUAUUUUUAAGUAAGAAAGCUUAAAUUGAUUUAAAAGACGAGAAGACCCUAUAGAGUUUUAUAUUUAUUAUUAUAUGAAUAAUUAAGUAUUUUAAAAGUUUCUAUUAUAAUAAGUAUUUUGUUGGGGUGACAGAAAAAUUAAAUUAACUUUUUUUAUUUAUUAACAUUAAUUUAUGAGUGUUUGAUCCAUUAAUAAUGAUUAAAAGAUUAAAUUACCUUAGGGAUAACAGCGUAAUUUUUUUUGAGAGUUCUUAUCGAAAAAAAAGUUUGCGACCUCGAUGUUGGAUUAAAAUAAACUUUUGGUGCAGAAGCUAGAAAGUUAGGUCUGUUCGACCUUUAAAAUUUUACAUGAUCUGAGUUUAAACCGGUGUGAGCCAGGUUGGUUUCUAUCUUUAAAAAGUAAUUAUAUUUUAGUACGAAAGGACCAAAUAUAGGUAAUAUUUAUUUUACUUUGAUUAUUAUU